GUAAUGUUUAUUUAUUCUUUAUAGCCAAAAAACUCAGAUCUACUAAAGUUUAUUAGUACUAUCAAUCCUAAUCAAGACUGUUUCACUUCCGGGUAUUCGAGUUGACGCAGAAAGGAUUCAACGUAACCAAUAAAGGUUAAUUAUUGUAUUUUCUUUGUUGGCGCGGUCUGUUAUCCAGUGAAUGUCUUAUAUAGAUAAAUGAUAAAACAAAAUAGUCAGUAUUUUAUAUAUUGCAACAGUGCACAAUAUGUAAAAACACCAUUUUUGAAUUUGCAUAUUGCUAUUAAAAUCGAAAAUACAAUGAACGCAAAAGUACACGGACCCAAAUGUAUCAUAUGUUUAUAAACUUGUUCAUGUUAAGACAAAUAACUUAAUGACCAGAAGAGCAUUGUUUACGUAUAAUAAUAUCAGAACUGGGUGACCAAAAAAGAAAAACGUGCAGUUGUCAGUGAGCAGAAAAGUUCUCGUCAGAUUGGUGCUAGCUUAGCAUGAGGGAGACUGAAGUAGUAACUAGCUUUCAACACGAGCCAAACAAACAUAUCGUGUUCCCUUCGCAAAGAUACUUCAUACGGUAGUAAUACAGGUGUAUCACACGUACCGUCAACUGCUUGUUAUUAUGCCUCCUGUCACUUAGUGCAGGUUUUCUACUGUCUCUUCUUUUUAAUGUCCACGCUCGAUGAGAAAGCUAACGAUGCCAAUUCUCUUUACGUUUAGGGGAAGAUGGUCCGAGCAGAAGAGGAGCACUGCAACAGCUCUGAGUCUGAGUCUUCUUCCUUCUUUAGAGCUCCAGCCUCUAACCCAGACUCUGACCAAAGCAGAGGCCAAAGCCCAGUCCAGUGCCCAGUCCAGUGUGUGAGAGGAACCACGAUGACAAGCCUCUCAAACAAGGUAAGGUUACGUUAUCCUUUAUACUUUAUUCCCUUGGGAGAUUUUUUGUAAUUUUUUUUUUUUUUGCAAGUUUAUUUGCAGAGCACACUUCAUACACAAGGCAAUUCAAAGUGCUUCACAGUUGAAUCAAAUUAUAAUAAGCAGAUAAAAUCAAUCCAUAAAAC
rnacentral:lncRNA from 1 species